rnacentral:lncRNA from 1 species
CCUGAGACUGAGAGAGAAGCUGUGAGGGACAACUGCUUGCACGUAUGGGAGUCCACAAUGCCAGGACCACGGAGGGGGACACUAAACACCUGAAGACUUUGAAAUGGCACAGUGGGUGCAAGAGGAACAUCGUGCCACAAAAUGCCAUCAGAUUGUCCCAGGCAGUGCCUGAAGGCUGAUCAGCUGAUCUGGCCGAGACUGGAAGCGAGGAGAGGCUGUAGUGGCUGAUGCACAGCUGUAACGCAGGCUCAGCCAAGUGUCAGAUCGCCUCUGCCCAGGGGUGGUUCAGUCAAGAAGCCACACGGUGUAACACUAUGAUAAAUGGC